UUACUAACGAAUCGUUUUAGCGGUAGCGAUAAACCCGUGCUUUUCAUGAAAUUCAUUUCUAUCAGAAUAAUAUUUUGUAGUUUUUUUUAUUGAUUGAUAAUGGAGCAAAUACUAUCAAAGCUACUCGUAGCUGAUAAUGCUACUAUACUAGAGGGCACUGCAGAACUACGAAAAGCAUUCAAGGAUUAUGAAAGUACAGCCGCUUUAUACCGACUUGUUGUAUCUUCUGCCAAUCCACAGAUUAGGCAGUAUGCAGCGGUUUUACUUAGAAAGCGUUAUAGCAAAGGAAAAUAUUGGACAGAAUUACCAUUACAUAUACGUACUGACUUUAAAGCGACGAUCCUACCUGCACUAUGCAACGAAUCAGAAAAACCUGUAAAAAAUUCGAUAGUCCAAUUAAUAGGAACUAUAGUUAAACACGAAUUACCCAAUAACAGUUGGCCAGAAGUAUUGCAGUUAGUACAUCAAUUAGUUCUGAAUGAAAAUGUAUUUCACAAAGAGUUAGGUAUGUAUACAUUGGCAACUAUGACGGAGGUAGCACCAAACGCAUAUAAAGUUUAUGCAGACUCUGUUGUCACUCUUCUUUCUCAAACAUUAAAUAAUCUACGAGAUUCAGAAUAUUCUAUUGCAUUUUAUGCUAUACAAACGUUACAAAAUUUAAUUCCGUUAGUUAAUGAAAAUCAAAAUAUGAUAAAUGCCUACAGUCGUAUGAUGCCACAGAUUAUGUCGACGAUACAGAUUUUGGCAGCAGUCGAUGAAGAUAAAGCUACAACAUCUUUCGAAUUAUUAGACGAUUUGUGUGAAAAUGAAAUUAAUGUAAUAGCACCGCAUGUGAAGGCACUUAUUAGCAUGUGCCUUGUUAUUGCCAGUAACAAAUCUUUAUCCGAUCCUCUUCGCGUUAAAGCAAUUUGCUUUAUCAGUUGGCUUGCAAGAACUAGAAAAAAGAGUCUUAUUAAACACAAAUUGGUUGAACCAAUUGUCGAUACAUUAUUCGCUCUCAUGUCAUCUCGUCCCGAUGAUGACAGCGAAGAGGUUUACUUUAGUAACGAUAACGAAGAUAGUACACCUAUUACCUGUGCAACUCAAACAUUGGAUACAUUAGCAUUGCACUUGCCCCCUGAAAAACUAAUUCCACAUUUGUUGAAGCACAUUGAACCGGGUCUUCAAGGAUCUGACAUUUAUGCUAAAGCAUCAUCGCAUUUAGUUAUGGCAGUACUUGCUGAAGGUUGCUCGGAACAUAUACGAUCAAAGUAUUUAGAAUCAUUCUUACGGUGCAUUUGUCAAGGAAUUGCCGAUGCUGCACCUAUUGUAAGAAAUGCUGCUCUAUUUGCCCUCGGCCAAUUUUCCGAACACUUACAACCAGAUAUAUCACAAUAUUCGUAUGAACUAUUACCUGUAUUAUUCGAAUACCUUGGUCAAGUAUGUACUCUUAUUAGACAAGAGAAAAAAGAACCACCGUCGAUCGAUCGAAUGUUUUAUGCUCUUGAAAUGUUUUGUGAAAAUUUAAAUGAAAGUUUAUUACCGUAUUUACCUACUUUGAUGGAAAGAAUUUUUGAAAUAUUAAACGCAGACACUUCGUUACAUGUUAAAGAAUUAACAUUGAGUGUCAUUAGCUCGGCAGCUUAUGCCAGUAAGGAAAACAUGUUGCCUUAUUUUGAAAAAAUUAUUGCUAUUCUUAAUGGUUAUCUUACGGAGAAACAAACGGAUCAAACUAUGUGUCUUCAAAUGCAAGCAGUUGAUACACUUGGAAUAAUUGCUAGAACGAUAGGAGAUGACAAUUUUGCACCACUGGCAACUACAUCUCUCGAAUUUGGAUUAAAUUUAUUGAAGGAAACUGAAGACCCUGACAUGCGAAAAUCUAUUUACGGCUUAUUUGCUUCCAUUAGUAAAGUUAUGAAAAAAGAUAUUGCAAUAGCGCUACCUCAAAUUGUUGACUACGCGAUAAACAGUAUACAAAGUUCUGAAGGUAUAGUGACUCAUUUUAAAGAAGAUGAAACUACCGCUUUCUCCAUAUAUGAAGAUCUAAGCGAUGAAACUGAAGAUGAGGAGGAUAUAGAAAAUACAGAUAACGAAGAAGACGGAGAUGAUGAAGAUGUAGCGGGUUACAGCGUAGAAAAUUCUUACAUCGAAGAAAAGGAAGAAGCAAUCAUGGCACUUAAAGAGAUCGCUCAAUAUACAGAAGAAGCAUUUUUGCCAUAUCUUGAGAAAUCAUUUGAAGAGAUCUUCAAAUUAAUUAAUUAUCCCCAAGAGGAUAUUCGAAAGGCAGCUAUAGAGGCUUUAUUACAGUUUUGUAUUAAUUUUUCCAAAAUUAAUUCCAACGAAGGUAGACAAUCAAUGUUCAAAGCAUUGUCAGUUUUUAUCCCUAAACUGUCGGAAUUAAUAAGACUAGAUGACGAAAGAACAGUAGCUAUGAGUGGAUUGGAUGCGUAUUCGGAAAUGCUUAAAGAAAUAAAGUCUGAUGUUUUAAUUGGAGAAGGUCAUAAAUAUGCUAUUAUGAACUGCAUAACGGAUGUUAUGUCUGGUAAAACCAAGUGCCAAGAUCAGGAAGAAGGAGAGGACGUAGAGAUCGAAGCGGAACAAGACGAAUUGUUAGUCGAAUGUGCAGGUGAUCUACUUACAAACCUGAAAAAAGUCAUUUCGUCGGAAGACUUUGCAAUUUACUUUGAAGUAGUAUUAUCAAUGCUUCUAGAAAGAUCGAAAAAAAACAAAUCCGAUACGCAAAGAGCUUUUGCAGUUGGAACUAUUUCAGAGUGUAUUUCUGGCCUUAAACAAGCUGUCGCCGCUUUUUUGCCCCAACUACUUCCUAUGUUUUUAAAGUUUGCUAAUGAUUCUAAUGCCAAUGUUCGCAACAAUGCGAUAUAUGGACUCGGUGAGCUUGUCUUACAUGGCAAAGAAGCAGUUUUUCCUCACUAUCCUAAUAUUUUACAAACUUUAUCUAGUGCUAUUGCUAAAGAAUCGCACAUAGGUGCUCGAGAUAACGUUUUAGGUGCAAUAGCACGCUUGAUUAUUACGAAUUAUGAAAUUUUACCGCUGGAACAGGUAUUUCCAGUAUUCGUUAAUCAAUUGCCAUUGAAGGAAGAUUAUUUGGAGAACAAAGCUGUUUUUAAAAGUAUUUUAACCUUGUAUCAAGUUGGACAUAGUAUAUUACAAGCACACAUGCGUACUUUACUUCAAGUUGCAAUCAGCGUACUACAAGAAGGAAAAACUUCCGAUGACGAAACAAAAAGUCUUGUAAUGGAGUUCGUGCGAUCCGCUCAACGGGAUUUCCCAAACGAUUGGAAUUCAAUCUACACUGAAUUACCACCAGAAAUAGCUACAAAUAUUCAACAAAUGUUUUCUUAAAUUAUCAUUUGAAUUGAUUUAAAUAUUUACUUGUUUCGAAUUCAUUUCAAGGUAUUCUACACGAAAUACAACAUUUUCCCUAAUUCUAAUCGCUAAUUGUUAUCAUCGUUGUACACGAUUCUACUGUAAUAAUCUACUGAUGAUGUCAUUUUAUUCUGUAAUUAUCAAAAUAGCUAUUAUUUAAUCGUCGAUAUAAGAUUAUUGAAGAAAAUAACUUUGAAAUAUUUUACAUCUUGACGAGAAUUGGUAUUCUAUUUCUCAAACAAAAUGUCAGCAUUGGUUAACCACUUGGUUAGAAAAUUCUUGUCUCCCGAAGAAAGGUGCUAUUAUUCUCUAAUUGUUCUUGUAAUUAGUUCUUGUACAAAUCAUUGUUCAUCGAUUGACCAAAAAAGUUGAUAUAUUUGUAUGAAUUAAUGUCUACUUUGUAGAGACGACUCCCUGUUAAUUAUUAUGCUAAUAGAAUUAUGCAGUUACAGUGACAAAAAAAAAAUAAUAAUUUUGUUUGAGAAAGAAGCAAAUAUUAUAAAGAUAUAUAUUUAUUUUUAUCAUAUAAAAAAUGAUUAACGUUGCAAAAAUCUGAAUUUUGUUACCGACUGUAAAAUGUGUGCCGCCAUCUAGCGGUACGAGUUAUUACUUUAUUUUACCGACCGGUAAAAUAUGUGUCGCCAUCUAAUCAGAAAAGUACGUACUACUUAUUACUUGAAAUAAAUAUUUUACAUAAAUUUAUUUAAUGAAUACUUUCAUGUUUUACGUGUAUGUAUGUUCUCUCUCUCUCUCUCUCUCUUUCGUUAUGCUGUUACAGGACACGUCAUACUAUUAAAAAAACAGAUUGUAAAUACAUCCGAUUCCCAUCAUAUCUGCUGAGUACUUGGAAAAAUUUCCUGGUAUUAAAAAGACAAUCAUAAGACUUUCAAUGGAUUAUCACACACAUCAGCAGCUUCAAAACAACGUACUAGAUUUUCAAUUGACUUUUUAUAUAAAUUGAAAAAUAUCUAUCUUCAAAAUCAAACACACACACACACAUUAAAGUAUUGUAAAAGAAAUAUGGUAUAGUAUUAUAAAAGAAGAUAUUAAUUCAUUCAUACAAAUUGAAGUUGGUGAAUAAUACUUCCGAUGAAUAAUACAUUUUUGCCUUUGAUUAUUGCUGUUUCAAAUUGAACAAUUUCAUUGUCCCACCAUAUAUAUAUAUAUACUUCAUUUUGAGAUGCUAUCGAUUGUUUUUUAUCAGAAACAGAUAAUUAUUUGCUUUAGUUGAUUUUUCGAAGUCAAAUCGAAAGCAUUUACUUGAUGAUACAAAACUUGAACGCUAUCAAAUAACUCCAAAGUGAUGUUUAUAAUAUGUGUUAUUUAAGAAGGUGUUAAACAAUCAACUAUACUAUAAAAAUCUUCAGAUCUGUCGAAGGAAAAAUAUUACAGUAAAAAGCGAUCUCUCUAUUAAAUACAUAAAUUCUUACUUUAGCGAGAAAGAUAAAGCAACCAGCAAGUUGCAUCGACCGUCACGACGAUCGAUGACAACGAUCGAUGACAAUGAUCGAACGUACAAAAUGUCAAGAAAUCAUUCUAAGAAAUAUAAAACGUUCAUCGCUUCGGAAAAAAGGAAUAUAAUGAAAAAUUUCAUAUCAUAUCGAUUUGAUCGAUAUCAAAAGUGUUCGUCGAGAUUAGUCAUCGCGGUGAACACGCGUCCUUGAAAAAUCAGGCAUGACUCGAAUGAAAAAGACGUCACCUCGUAGGUGUACGUCGAGGACAAUCGGAAAUAUAACGAGGUGAUGAAGGACAAGGAGCAAUGUAUUAUUAUUACUUUAAUCGUCUCGUCAUCAUUCAAUUCAAUAGAAAACAAAAGUCUAUAGUUAAUCGUUAACGAAUCAAACUAACAAGUUAGAAAUCGGAGAAGAAGUACAAUUUUUACGAUAUCAUUUAAAUGAUUUCCAAACAAUAUGCCAUAAAAUAUAUUAUUGAGGAUACUGUUCAAAGAAAAAACAGUUGAAAGGAAUAAUAUUAUAACUGUUUUUCUAAAACAACUGAACAACUUUGCUUUGAAAGGAAAUUAAAAAACCGUCGAAAGUACGGUGGGUAGUAUCGACAAUUAAUCCAGUUAAUAUUUAUUAUACAAAGAAAAAAGACAUAAUAGAUUAUGCAAAUGAAAACAACUUUUCAUUGGAAUGAAUUAAAUAGACGACAACUCUCCAAUUGAAAAGAUACAGGUAUAUACUAGCUAGAGAGAGUUGUCAUUUGACAAGAAAUUGUUCUGCCAUCAUAAAAUCGUCGACCGUUCGUUUGUUCGUUCGUUUGUUCGUUCGUUUGUUCGUUCUUUCAGUUCACACCUGUCGUUGGACUUGUAAAGGCCACCGCACGAACGAGAUAUUGAGAGCUCUCACACAUAUUCCAGUGGAAAGUUUCGUUUGAACUAGAACGCUUGCUUAGUUUGCUCUUCGAGAUACUCCGGAACGCAUCCCAACGCAACUGUCUUUGCCUCUUUGUUUCGAUCACGGAUAUAUAUAUAUAUUUAUUAUUAUUAUUAUUAUUAUUUGCGUGACAUUUGUGUAAUCAUUUGAAAUAUUUCUUCAACUCUUUUACAACCAAAGAUUGGACGUUUGUAACGCCAAAUAGAAAGUCCACUUUUGGAAGGUAAAAAGGGGGACCGGAAAGAUACCGGAGAACAUUAUUCGUAUUGUAUCGUUCGCAUACGAAGGAGAAACGAACAGGAUGUAAUAAGGAUAUCCGCAUUGAUUUGAAAGCUUCUCCUUUAACAAGAGAAGAUAUAUCCUACAGAAUACGAAAUUGAAUGGAACACACUCGUUGGAAGGAGAAACACGUAACACGAAUUACAGAAGCGAGAAUGCUCAUGGAGAAAGUGUGACAUUCUGUAAGAUAGAAGGACAGACACCGUGAUAAAAGUUCCUUCGGAGGUGACCGAAAAGAAGCAAAACUGUUCAAAGGAAGAUAUCAAAAUAAUACUUUUUAAUCGAAGAAAUGAAAAAAAUUAUUUGACAAACAAGUUGAAAAAUGUAAAUGAUGAAAAUAUGCUAAGGAUGUAAAGGAGUGUUAUCGUAGUAACACAUUAGUUGCUAACCAUAGGGGAACUUGAAAGCUUAUUUAAAAGGGCGCAACUAGUUUCUCGAGUGGCCCAUUUCUCUUAUCGCGAUAAACUUUGAAGAAUCGGUCCGGUGUGUCAGGGGAAACAAAGUGGUGAAAAAAGUGGUGAAAAAAGUGGUGAAAAAAGUGCUGAAAGAACUAGGGUGAAUCAAAAGUAUUGCGAUAUUUGAACGCGAUGAACGGAGAAAUCUCGACGCCGUCGACGCCGUCGUCGUCGUCGUCGUCGUCGUCGACGGCGACGUCGGCGUCGAUAUGGUCGUCAUCAUCGUCAACAUCUUUACCCUCCUCUAUCAUAAUCUUUUCUUUAUCCUUCUCCUUCUCUCACUUUUUUGCCACCAUCUCUACUUUAACUACCACUACCAGUACUUGACUAUUAUCAUCGUCUUCCGGCUGAUCGCAAGAACACCUACGAGGAAUAAUAAAAUGGACG
rnacentral:misc_RNA from 1 species